rnacentral:rRNA from 1 species
CUCGGAUCAGGUAGGGAUACCCGCUGAACUUAAGCAUAUCAAUAAGCGGAGGAGAUCAUUAC